CAGCACAUUUAGCCACAGGACAGCAGUCUGCAGGGGUGAGUACUGCUCAAUGAUAAAUGUGAAUUCACAGGCUGACACGAAACAAGGGACUGCAAACGUUACAGAGAAGGUGGUGAAAAUGUCAUUCAAAGAUUACAACAAAAUGCAGUUUAGUAAGGAUGCCUCACAAAAAACAGCAGAACCAAAUGCACCAAUGUAAGGUCCAGUCUAUGCAUCAGUACAUGUUGUUUGAUUUCUGAACAUUGGCAACUGGCAAGCUGACAGCGCAAUCUGUUCAGAAGUUCAGUAGGUCUUACUCCCAGGUACGUGGGUAUAGGAUUUGGAGCCUGAAUGUGUGAGCUAUUUCCACUGGAAAAGACAGAGUCAGGUGAUACAAAACUUCUCCCAGGUUGGAUUUUUUUACCCAUAUGAGUUAUCACUUGAUGUGGUGGUUGUCUAGUGAUGAACACACAUGCAAAAAUCAGCUCCAAGUUAGGGACAAAAACUUUAGGUAACAGUCUGCCCAAGGAAGAUUUACAGCAGAUGAGGGGAACCUUUGGGCCUCCAAAGGUUGCUGAACUACAGCUCCCAUAAUUCCUGCUUGCCGGGCUGAUGGGAGUUGCAGUUCAGCAAUAUCCAGAGGACUAGAGGUUCCCCACACCAGAUUUACAGCCUCUGUCUGUCUGUCUGUCUGUCUAGGAAGCCACUUUUGUUAUUGUUGGCAUCUGUCUGUCUCAAGAGACAGUGGAAGAGUGCACCGUUGCAGGAAAAGUCAAGCCAUUCUCCAAUGGGAGACCGAAACAGAAGAGACAUGUUUUAUUGCAGCUGGUGCAGAUCUUGGUGGCUUUUGUUCCUGGCAAUUGUAAGGAUGCAAAGUAUGGAAUGGCAGUCCAGCAAAGAGAAAUCUUGAUGCCAUGCUUCAGAAGUGGCUGCCUAAAGAGGUCCCCACCCCACUGCAUUGCUGUUUUAGGAACAGCAGGGAACCUGUGGCCCCCCAGGUGUUGUGGGACAACAACCCCUAUCAGUCCAAGCCAGAAUGGCCAGUGGGCAGGGACAAUGGGAGCUAUAGCCUACCAACUUCUCUGGAGGUCCAUGGGUCCUUCCCCACCCUAGCUUUAUGUGCUUGCUUUGGGACACCCCCACCCCCAAAGCUAUUCCUGAAUAUGGUGUGGAGCUGCUUUAAUAAUCGCAGCACAACUUUAAGGCCUCACUCAGAGCGGUGUGUUCCAGUCCGGGGACCUUGUGGUUCAGGAAAGAUGCUGACAGAGAGGAAAGGAGUCAGUGGAGAGAAAGGCUGGAGAUGAGAGUAAGAGCUGAUCUCCAUUGCAAAAGGAAGGAAGGAGGAAGAUGACCAAGUAAAAGAUCUUAGAGAUCCUAAGGAAUGCAUACAAGAAUGAGGGAGUUAUCUGUACUUCUUGACGUCUUUCCUGUACUGGCUCUGGCGUAGGUGUUUACAGCACUCCAUGCAUUUGAAGUGGGGUGUGUGUGGGAGUCUCCCUAUCUUAUCAGGUCCUGAAUAUGCAAGCCUGGCUCCAAAGGGUGCCUAGGUUGGGCAAGACCUGGCCCUGUCUUGUACCCAAAUAAGGGCAGACAGUGUAUAAGAACAUUGCGAUGUAACGUGUCCCAUCUUUUGCAAGCGAAGAGGGCCCACUGAGGAUGCCUUGCCUAACGUCUCCCAAAAUUUGGAGGCAGCAUUGCAAAGAUCCAUGGAGACUGAGAUCUCACCACCAGAUACUCAUCCUUUGCUCUAAAAGAGGAUGGAUUAUUUUGCUUUGUGUGCUUCUGUGUUAAUUAUGGGAGAAGGACUUUUGUCUUGCCAAGCACAGAGACAAUCUUCUCUCUGUAGUUUCUGCAUAGCCUGAUAACCGAAGGUGUUAUAGGGGCUGGUAGCUACUCCACCUGCCUAAGGGCCCCUCCAGAUGGGUCCUUCAUUGCGAGUGUCUUCUGCACCAUGCCCCUGAAAUAGUCAUAGUGCGCGAGUGGUGGAUUCAUUCCACUUUAGUGAGGGUUCUGCAAUGCUCCCCCAAGGCUACCAUAUUAUUGCUGUCCAGAAGAGAUGUGGUGCAACAAAUGUCUGUGGGGGAAUAAACCAGAACAUUUGUGGUAUAAAAAGAUAUGGCAAUUUCUUGAGAAGUUAUGGGAUAUACACUGGUUUGGUGUCAGGCGGCUGCCAGCAACUCCCAUGGCCCAGGAACGUACAAAGACGAGGAAUGUUCUCACCGUCCGCUUUUUAUUCAGUAUUUACAGAGAGAGGCUUUAGAACGCAGCCUCUUGGAUAGUGGCGUUGUCCCAAGUGACUCUCCACUUCCUCAUUCGUCAUCCUCAUCACCUCCUCUACGGAUGUCGCUAAGUGCCCUCUGUCUUUGAGCUCUUCGGGGGGGGGGGUCUGGAAUGCUUUCUAAAGACUGUCAGCCCCCUGGUGCUUCCUCCUCCUCCUCUGCCAUUAUUUCCCAGCUUUUCCCCUCAUCUGCCUCUCUCUCAACCCCCUGUUGUAAUCCUGAACUGUCUUCCUCUUCUCUGGAAGGGUCAGACUGGGGAGGUGGUCUGCACCAUUCCUCCUCUGCCCACUCCCUGACAUUUGGCCUGAAGCCAUGUGACCCCCCCGAUACAUUUGCAGACACAAACAGCAUUGGAAAUGGCAUGGAAACAUGCGAUGGCAUGUGGCUGCCCCAAAAGCAUCAUGAGCACAAAUCAUCACAAAGGUGCAAUAACAAGGAUGUCUGGAGGGGCCCCAAGCAGAGGCAGAAGGGGUUCAGCUGCGACAGAGAGAGAAAAUUGGAGGUUUGCAGGUGGCUGAAAAAAGGAAGCUGUUGCUUUUGAGGAACUGAUAAUUUGGCUGUUACAAUGGGCUGUCUGGAUGCCUGCUUGCUUCUUGGCACCCUCCCCACUCAAACACAGAUGCACAUAAAGAAAACUUGCGCAUUUGUAAAUAAAUAGAUAUUAUGAAAAUGCCACAAGUCUUCCGUGCAGGAAACGGACGCUGAAAAAGGCUGUGCCGUAAAACCUCUCACCAUUUGAGGAAGUGGGAAGUGCCAGGCAACUGUGUCAUCCUUUCUUUGUACAAAUUCAGCCCCAUCACUCAUCAUGAGUAAUACUAAUAAUGAAAAAACUCUGAAGUUUCCUUUUUUUUAAGGCAGUGCAACCAUACUUCACAAUCAUCACAUUGACACCCAAAGCAUUUUAAAGCAAGGGGAAGCUCUAGGAGGGUGACGAAAACCAAAUGACACUGUGCUUCCUAGGACAACCCCCCCAGCGCAGGCUGACAACAGCUUGUGCAUAAAAAGCAGGUUGUAAGAAUCUGGAGGCCACAAAACAGGAAGGAGCUGGCCUGUGAUUCAGGAGGGUCUGACAUAAUGCUUAGAUGCCAAACUCUGUAUUUAAGGACAAAGAGGGGCAAUGUGUUGGUCGCCCAACAGACCUUUGUGUCUAAGCCCCCAACAGACCCCUUUAUUUUUCUUCUGCACUUCUCUUAAGGACCCUCCAGACUGGGGUGGGUUUGGGGGCAGGCAGGCAGUGCCUUCUGCAACCUGGCGCUGGUGCAACAAUAGUGGACUAGCAGUGGAUUUACACUGGACUGUUCACACAUCCUUCUGCUUUAUCAAUUGUUCUGUGAUGCUUCCCAAACAUGAUUGCUUUACUGCUCUCUGGAGGGGCGCUACUAGUGCUAUAGCGCGCACACACACAAAAAUAAAGCAGAACAUUGCAGAAUAAAAAGUUACAGGAUUCCACAGGAAAUUAUGGAACAUGCACUGACUUGGAAGUAUUAUCUCUGCCCUGAAACUAAUGCAAGCACAAACAGUACUGAAAGUGGGAUCCUGUAUCCUCCCCCCUGAACUCCACCAAGAGCACAAAUAAUCACAAAUGCAUAUUAAAAAGUACCCUUGGUCUCCUGUCUAGGGAUUUGCAAAGAUGGCAGCAUCACAUCUCCUCUGUCUAUUCUCUUGGAGUGCCACGGGGGGUGGGGGGCAAAGUGAGGUGCCCAGGUUAGUGUGAAUGGGAUUGGAGCCUUAUCCAUGGUGUGGAGGGAAGUUUCCCCAAAGCUUCACCCAUCGGGAGUGAAAAAAAUGAAAUUACAGGACGUAAAGAGAAAAGUUCUACACUUUCAUGCUACAUUUUGCAGGCAAGAGUGCCCCAACUUUGCCUGUCUAUGUGUACAAGGAUUAUCAGAACAACUCUUUAAGGCAGAUCAGGGACACGGGUGGUGUUAUGGUCUAAACCACUGAGCUUUCUUGGUGGUUUGAAUCCCUGAAAAGGGGUGAGCUCCUGUUACUCUGUCCCAGUUCCUGCCAACCUAGCAGUGCAAGUAGAUAAAUAGGUACCACUGCGGCGGGAAGGUAAAUGAAGUUUCCGUGCACUUUGGCUUCUGUCACUGUGACCCGCUGUGCCAGAAGCGGUUUAAUCAUGCUGGCCACAUGACCUGGAAAGCUGUCUCUGGACAAACACUGGCUCCCUUGGCCUGAAAGUGAGAUGAGCGCUGCAUUGCUUCCUGCUUGGCAGGGGGUUGGACUCGAUGGCCCUUGUGGUCUCUUCCAACUCUUCUAUGAUUCUAUGAUCCCAUAGUUGCCUUUGACUGGACUUAACCAUCCAGGUCAUCAUAGUCAACAAAAGAGUGGCGGGAGCUGUACUGGGAUGCAAUCUCAAAAAUGAUAGAAUGAUCUCGAUACGAAUCCAAGGCAGACCUUUUAACAUCACAGUAAUCCAAGUUUAUGCACCAACCACUGGUGCUGAAGAAACUGAAAUUGGCCAAUUCUAUGAAGACUUACAACACCUUAUAGAAGUGACACCAAAGAAGGAUGUUCUUCUCAUUAUAGGGGAUUGGAAUGCUAAAGUAGGGAGUCAAGAGACAAAAGGAACAACUGGCAAGUUUGGCCUUGGAGUUCAAAAUGAAGCAGGGCAAAGGCUAAUAGAGUUCUGCCAAGAGAACAAGCUGGUCAUCACAAACACUCCUUUCCAACAACACAAGAGACGACUCUACACAUGGACAUCACCAGAUGGGCAGCAUCGAAAUCAGAUUGAUUAUAUUCUCUGCAGCCAAAGAUGGAGAAGCUCUAUACAGUCAGCAAAAACAAGACCUGGAGCUGACUGUGGCUCAGAUCAGCAGCUUCUUAUAGCAAAAUUCAAGCUUAAACUGAAGAAAGUAGGAAAAACUACUGGGCCGGUAAGAUACAAUCUAAGUCAAAUCCCUUAUGAAUACACAGUGAGGAACAGGUUUAAGGAUUUAGAUUUGGUGGACAGAGUGCCUGAAGAACUAUGGAUGGAGGCUCGUAACAUUAUACAGGAGGCAGCAACGAAAACCAUCCCAAUGAAAAGGAAAUGCAAGAAAGCAAAGCGGCUGUCCAACGAGGCCUUACAAAUAGUGGGGGAGAGAAGGCAAGCAAAAUGCGAGGGAGAUAGUGAAAGAUACAGGAAAUUGAAUGCAGAAUUCCAAAAAAUAGCAAGGAGAGACAAGAAGGCCUUCUUAAAUGAGCAAUGCAAAGAAAUAGAGGAAAACAAUAGAAUGGGGGAAACCAGAGAUCUGUUCAAGAAAAUUGGAGAUAUGAAAGGAACAUUUUGUACAAAGAUUACCAUAAUAAAAGACAAAAAUGGAAAGGACCUAACAGAAGCAGAAGACAUCAAGAGGAGGUGGCAACAAUACACAGAGGAAUUAUACCAGAAAGAUAUGGAUGGCUCGUACACCCCAGGUAGUGUGGUUGCUGACCUUGAGCCAGACAUCUUGGAGAGUGAAGUCAAAUGGGCCUUAGAAAGCACUGCUAAUAACAAGGCCAGUGGAAGUGAUGAUAUUCCAACUGAACUAUUUAAAAUGUUAAACGAUGAUGCUGUUAAGGUGCUAUACUCAAUAUGCCAGCAAAUUUGGAAAACUCAGCAGUGGCCAGAGGACUGGAGAAGAUCAGUCUACAUCCCAAUCCCAAAGAAGGGCAGUGCCAAAGAAUGCUCCAACUACCGCACAAUUGCACUCAUUUCACACGCUAGCAAGGUUAUGCUUAAAAUUCUACAAGGCAGGCUUAAGCAGUAUGUGGACCAAGAACUCCCAGAAGUGCAAGCUGGAUUUCGAAGGGGCAGAGGAACCAGAGACCAAAUUGCAAACAUGCGCUGGAUUAUGGAGAAAGCUAGAGAGUUCCAGAAAGACAUCUACUUCUGCUUCAUUGACUAUGCAAAAGCCUUUGACUGUGUCGACCACAGCAAACUAUGGCAAGUUCUUAAAGAAAUGGGAGUGCCUGAUCACCUCAUCUGUCUCCUGAGAAAUCUCUAUGUGGGACAAGAAGCUACAGCUAGAACUGGAUAUGGAACAACUGAUUGGUUCAAAAUUGGGAAAGGAGUACGACAAGGCUGUAUAUUGUCUCCCUGCUCAUUUAACUUAUAUGCAGAAUUCAUCGUGCGAAAGGCUGGGCUGGAUGAAUCCCAAGACGGAAUUAAGAUCGCCGGAAGAAAUAUCAACAACCUCAGAUAUGCAGAUUACACAACCUUGAUGGCAGAAAGUGAGGAGGAAUUAAAGAACCUUUUAAUGAGGGUGACAGAGGAGAGCGCAAAAUAUGGUCUGAAGCUCAACAUCAAAAAAACUAAGAUCAUGGCCACUGGGCCCAUCACCUCCUGGCAAAUAGAAGGGGAAGAAAUGGAAGCAGUGAGAGAUUUUACCUUCUUGGGCUCCAUGAUAACUGCAGAUGGUGACAGCAGUCACGAAAUUAAAAGACGCCUGCUCCUUGGGAGAAAGGCGAUGGCAAACCUAGACAACAUCUUAAAAAGCAGAGACAUCACCCUGCCAACAAAGGUCCAUAUAGUUAAAGCCAUGGUUUUCCCGGUAGUGAUGUAUGGAAGUGAGAGCUGGACCAUAAAGAAGGCUGAUCGCCAAAGAAUUGAUGCUUUUGAAUUAUGGUGCUGGAGGAGACUCUUGAGAGUCCCAUGGACUGCAAGAAGAUCAAACGCAUCCAUUCUUAAGGAAAUCAGCCCUGAGUGCUCACUGGAAGGACAGAUCAUGAAGCUGAGGCUCCAAGACUUUGGCCACCUCAUGAGAAGAGAAGAUUCCCUGGAAAUGACCCUGAUGUUGGGAAGGAUUGAGGGCACAAGGAGAAGGGGGCGACAGAGGACGAGAUGGUUGGACAGUGUUCUCGAGGCUACGAACAUGAGUCUGGCCAGGCUGCGAGAGGCAGUGGAAGACAGGAGUGCCUGGCGUGCUCUGGUCCAUGGGGUCACGAAGAGUCGGACACGACUAAACGACUAAACAACAACAACAACCAUCCAGGGGUGCUUUACCUUUACCUUUACCUAAGGGAGAUCAGUAUUAACAGCCCCGCCCAUACUGAAGCUUUGGGGAGGGGAGAAUGAAGAAGAAGAAGAAGAGUUUGGAUUUGAUAUCCCGCCUUUCACUCCCUUCAGGAGUCUCAAAGCGGCUAACAUUCUCCUUUCCCUUCCUCCCCCACAACAAACACUCUGUGAGGUGAGUGGGGCUGAGAGACUUCAAAGAAGUGUGACUGGCCCAAGGUCACCCAGCAGCUGCAUGUGGAGGAGCGGAGACUCAAACCCGGUUGCCCAGAUUACGAGACUACCGCUCUUAACCACUACACCACACUGGCUCUCAGUGAGAGGCCCAGUUGCUUGAGGCCUUCUAAGAAGUUCAUGGCUUAGGUGAUCUUCAGACCUGCUCUGCAGCACAGCCUCUUAUUCCCAACUCUCCAUCAGCUCCCUAGGACAGUAUCAAAUUUAUAGGUAACAAGGCCUCUGAAUUUUAUUAAUUCUGACUUCAGGAAUACCCUGGCCUAAAGGCUGCACUGUCACCAAAUUUUGAAGCAGAAGGGUCAUCAGCAUGAAACCCGUUUGCACAUUUCCAUGACUUACAUUUUUAUUUUUUAUUUUUACUGCAAUACAUGCAGCAGAAAGGCAGGAUCAGCUGCAACUUUCAACGGUCUGUAUAAAAUAAAUACUGGAAUGGGGGAAAAGGUGAGAUCCUAUCAGAUGGAGCUCUCUUGUAUCUGGAUUUUGUCUCACGUGCAGCCCCAGAACAAGCCCUGCUGAAAUAGAAGGUCUGAGUGACAUGCCAGCAGGCCGGCCAGCGGGGGGGGGGGGCGGGGGUGCUGUGUGACCUGCCAGUGGCCCUUCAGUAGGGUUGGGUGAAUCUAUCCAUUUCAGUUUCCCCCAGCUUCUUAGAAUCAUAGAAUCAUAGAGUUGGAAUAGACCACAAGGGCCAUCGAGUCCAACCCCCUGCCAAGCAGGAAACACCAUCAGAGCACUCCUGACAUAUGGUUGUCAAGCCUCUGCUUAAAGACCUCCAAAGAAGGAGACUCCACCACACUCCUUGGCAGCAAAUUCCACUGUCAAACAGCUCUUACUGUCAGGAAGUUCUUCCUAAUGUUUAGGUGGAAUCUUCUUUCUUGUAGUUUGGAUCCAUUGCUCCGUGUCCGCUUCUCUGGAGCAGCAGAAAACAACCUUUCUCCCUCCUCUAUAUGACAUCCUUUUAUAUAUUUGAACAUAUAUUUGAACAUAGAUCCUUUUCACAUGUACUGCUCUCAAGCCAGGUGUCACCCAUCUUGUAUUUGUGCCUCUCAUUUUUUUUGCCCAAGUGCAAUACUUUACAUUUCUCCCUGUUAAAAUUCAUCUUGUUUGUUUUGGCCCAGUUCUCUAAUCUGUCAAGGUCGUUUUGAAGUGUGAUCCUGUCCUCUGGGGUGUUAGCCACCCCUCCCAGUUUGGUGUCAUCUGCAAAUUUGAUCAGGAUGCCCUUGAGUCCAUCAUCCAAGUCGUUGAUAAAGAUGUUGAAUAAGACCUGGCCCAAGACAGAACCCUGUGGCACCCCACUAGUCACUCUUCUCCAGGAUGAAGAGGAACCAUUGAUGAGCACCCUUUGGGUUCGGUCAGUCAGCCAGUUACAAAUCCACUGAGUGGUAGCAUAGUCAAGACCGCAUUUUACCAGCUUCUUUACAAGAAUAUCAUGGGGCACCUUGUCAAAUGCCUUGCUGAAAUCAAGGUAGGCUACAUCCACUGCGUUCCCUUCAUCUACCAGGCUUGUAAUUCUGUCCAAAAACGAGAUCAGGUUAGUCUGACAUGACUUAUUUUUCAGAAAUCCAUGCUGACUAUUGGUGAUCACAGCAUUCCUUUCUAGGUGCUCACAGACUGUUUGCUUAAUGAUCUGCUCCAGAAUCUUCCCUGGUAUUGAUGUCAGACUGACUGGGCGGUAAUUAUUUGGGUCCUCUCUUUUCCCCUUUUUGAAAAUAGGGACAACAUUUGCCCUCCUCCAGUCUGCCGGGACUUCGCCUGUACUCCAGGAAUUCUCAAAGAUGACUGCCAGUGGUUCUGAGAUCACAUCUGCCAGUUCUUUUAAUACUCUUGGAUGCAGUUCAUCUGGCCCUGGAGACUUGAAUACAUCUAAACUAGCCAAGUAUUCUUGUACUAUCUCCUUAGUUAUUCUGGGCUGUGUUUCCUCUGCUGAAUCAUUUGCUCCAAAUUCUUCAGGUCGGGCAUUGUUUUCUUUAUCGGAGAAGACUGAGGCAAAGAAGGCAUUGAGGAGUUCAGCCCUUUCUGUGUCCCCUGUUUGCAUUUCACCAUCUUCUCCUCUGAGUGACCCCACUGUUUCUUUGUUCUUCCUUUUGCUACGAACAUACCCAUAAAAGCCUUUUUGUUGCUUUUAACCUCUCUAGCAAGCCUGAGUUCAUUCUGUGCUUUAGCUUUUCUGACUUUGUGUCUACACGUGCUGGCUAUUUGUUUGAAUUCCUCUUUGGUGGUUUCCCCCCUUUUCCAUUUUUUGUACACAUCCUUUUUAAUCUUAACUCAGUUAAAAGUUCUUUAGAUAGCCACCCUGGCUUCUUUAGGCACCUUCCAUGUUUCCGUCUCAUUGGUAUUGCCUGAAGUUGUGCUUUUACUAUCUCCCUCUUAACAAACUCCCAGCCAUCAUGAACUCCCUUUCCUUUUAGUAUUACUGUCCAUGGGAUCUCACCCAGCACUUCCCUAAGUUUUAUGAAGUCGGCUUUCUUAAAGUCAAGAAAUUGAGUCCUAGUAUGCUUGGCUGCUCCUUUCCGCUGUAUAGUAAACUUCAGAAGAGCAUGAUCACUCGCGCCUAAUGAUCCUUCCACUUCACAGUCUCCCUCUAGGGGGAAACUGUAACCAACUCCUGGGAGCUGGCAGCUGUUACAGAUUACAAUCGUGGGAAUAGUCAUCUGACCUUCAGGACAAUGUAUUCAGAAGCUCUGUUGUGUGCUUUCUAUAAAAUAAAUGCCCUACUGGAACAGCUACAUGAGAAAACGAAUUUGAUGGCUGAUUCGAUUAGAAAUUUUGAACAGGCAGUGGGAAAUUUUGAACAGGCAGUGGGAAAAUAUGUGGAGCCCACCCAGGAAUUAAAUCAGGAGUGUGGCCUGACAGAACAGGCCCAACAGGAAUAUGAACUUUCGGAUUUGACAAAUGAACUUGGAAAAAGCCAGAUUUGGAAAGGAAAAGUUUGGUUUGGUUUGGAAAUGGGGGGUUGGAUAGACCCUCCUAUGCAGGGAUGUUUGGACUUUUCAAGUCUGGCAAUGGGCCGUGAGAUGUUUGGGAUUGUGGGGGCUCUCAAUUUUGGAGGGAUUUUGAAACAUGUUUUUAAAUACCACAUGGAAUUUAGUGUCGAUUAUGGAAAAGGGGCUGAUCUGUCGAGAAGGGUCAAAAAUAUUGCUAAGCUGGAGUUCCCACGAGUGAAACGAGCAGGAGAUAAGGGAAAAUACAGUUACAAAUAUGAAGAAGAGCUGCGGAAGGGACAUGGAAGAGACUUAAGGGCCUCGGAUAUUAGGAUACCAGGUUAAUGUGCCAGAUUGAUGGGAUAACAAGGACUGACAAAACCCGGGACCAGAAGGAAGGGACGCUGGAUGAAGAUUGGAUUUGUUUUUAUUUCUCUUUUUCACUACUAGGACUGUUUUACAAAAUUGAUGAAUGUUAGAAAAAUGUUGGAAUGAAGUUACUUGGCUUUAGUAAAAAUGUUUAAAGAAUUAUGCAAAAAUAUUAUGGUUAUGAGAAGUUGGUAAAAAUAAGAUUUAAGUUUUAAGUUUCAAGGUUUUUAUAGUAAGAUAAGAUUAAAAUAGUUUAAGGUAAUGUAAUGACAGAAUAUUAUGAAAUAUGGAAAGGAUUUGCUGUGACAAUUAAUAACCAGGAUACAAGGAAGGGGAGGAGGAGGAGGUCAAGGAAAGAGGGCAAUGAUAGUUGAGGAGUUGAGAAUAAUGGAUUUGUUUUUAAAUGUUUUUAAAUGUUUGUGGUGUUUUGUUUUGUUUUUCUCUCUUAUUUUGAAUUUGUAUAUGUAUGGUUGGAAGUGGCUUGUUUUUCUCUUUUUCUACUUUGUUUUUCUUUUGCAACUUAAAAAAUUUUUUUUUUCAAUAAAUAUCAUUUUAAAAAAAAAAAGAUCCUUCCACUUCUACCCCACUAACCAGGUCAUCAACAUUGGUUAGGACCAGAUCUAAAAUGGCUGUUCCUCUUGUUGCUUCUCCCACUUUCUGGACAAUGAAGUUGUCUGCAAGGCCAGUGAGGAAUCUGUUUGACCUUAUGCUCUUGGCUGAGUUUGACAUCCAACAAAUAUCCGAGUAAUUGAAGUCCCCCAUUACUACUAUCUCCCUUCCUUUUGCAUGCUUGGCCAUCUGUUCCAGGAAGGCAUCAUCUAUGUCCUCCGUUUGACUUGGGGAUCUAUAGUAAACUCCCACAAUGAGGUCACUGUUAUUCUUCUCUCCCUUAAUUUUGACCCAAAUGCUCUCACUUUGGCUUUGAGGUUCUAAAUCUUGGAUCUCUUCACAGGUAUACACAUCCCUGACAUAUAACGCCACUCCUCCUCCUUUCUUGUCUGGUCUGUUUCUCUGAAAUAGAUUGUAUCCCUCCAUUGUUACAUUCCAGUUGUGGGACUUAUCCCACCAGGUUUCAGUGAUGCCUAUUAUGUCAUAUUUAGUUUGCUGUACCAAGAGCUCAAGCUCAUCUUGUUUAUUUCCCAUGCUUUGCGCAUUAGUGUACAGAAAUUGAAGUCCAUUAAUCAUUCCCCCGUGACUCUUAUUUAAGGAUUUUUUCCUCCCACCACUAGGUCUGCGUGCUGUUUGCUCCAUUUGGUCUAUGACAUUUGGAUGAUCAUCUUCAUCAAUUGAUAGACUCCUACCUUCAGGAGCACUGUCUCCCUCCCCACAUUAGUCAGUUUAAAGCCCUCCUGAUGAGGUUUCUGAGAUUUUUGGCAAAAACAUUCCUCCCAACCGUUGUGAGGUGCAGCCCAUCGCUUGCCAGAAGUCCAUCUUCAAGAAACUGCAGUCCGUGAUCUAAGAAUCCAAACCGUUCCUGUUUACACCAUUUGCGAAACCAGCUGUUCACUUCCACUAUUUUCCCCUCUCUCCCUGGGCCACGUCGUUCAACUGGGAGGACAGAUGAGAUGACAAUUUGUGCAUUUAAUUGCUUCAACUUCCUGCCCAGAGCCUCGUAGUCUCUUUUGAUCUGCUGGAGGCUAUUGCUUGCAGUGUCAUUGGUUCCCACAUGAACCAAGAGGAGGGGGUAUUUGUCAGUGGGUUUUAUGAUUCCUUGCAGUCGUUCAGUUACAUCUUGGAUCUUAGCCCCGGGGAGACAGCACACUUCCUGAGACAUCUUGUCAGGCCCACAGAUCACUGCUUCUGUUCCCCUCAGUAGGGAAUCCCCUAUCACCACUACACGCCUCCUCUUAGGUUUGGUCGGGGUUCUUCCGUGAGCUGUCCGUUCCAAGGUCGCCUGCACAUUCCCUGAGGACUGACUUUGCUGCUCAUCUUCAUAUACCUGAUCGACUGUAAUGAGGGAGAGAUCCUCAAAUGGAGUCUGCUCUUCGUCUUCCAUGCUAGGGGAGAGGACCUCAAAGCGAUUGUGUAUUUCUAAACAAUCAGAGGGAACCCUGGGCCUCCUACUUCUUUGAGUCACGUUUCUCCAUAUAUCUGGCUCCUGUGUUGGUGAACUAGCCUCCUUCUCAGGGGAGUCCCCUGUCUCCUCCUUGGUGGAGACGGUGUGCUCUGUUGCUUCCAAGAAGAGCUCCAGCUCUCUAAUUCUUUGGAGCGUAGCUACACGUUCCUCCAGUUGCUGGACUUUGUCUUUUAAGAGGGCAAUCAACAUGCAAUUGCUGCAGGUAAAGCUGCCUGCAACCUUUGGCAAGAUGGCAAACAUUGCGCAGGAACCGCAGGUGACUGCAGCUGUUCCCUCCCCCUCCAUCUUGAGAACGUGUCGUUGGGGGUGGCUACAGCGGUCCUCCAUCAUAAAAAGCGUGAAGACAGGACAAAUAACUCCCCCCCCAAAAAACCUAGGUCUCCCCCAACAAACAUUUGAGACUAGCUCCCCUAAAUCUAAAAGAUGGAUCAAACUGCACGUGCCGCUAGGCGCGCGCCGCUGCCCUGCAAGCUCUGAUAAGCUCCUCCCACAGCUAAUCACCUGCCUCAACAGAAACCCUGCCCCCUCUGACCUUUGCACAGGGAGAGCAGCUAAUCAGCCACAAAGAAACACACACACAAGAAAACCCUUUUUGCACCUUCUUCAGCUGCUGCCGUGCAAGCUCCUUCUUAUCUUUCCAGGCUGCAGUUCAGCUCCCCACACUUCCACACCAGUGUAAUAUAUAUAUUACAGUGUUUUCUUCUGGGGGUACUCAAGGGCACUGUAACAACUUCAUGGUCAGAACCGGUGCCUUCUCUCUCUCUCUCUCUCUCUCUCUCCCUCUCUCUGUGCGAUGUAAAAAUUCAUCAGCAUCUUAAUGCGAAUUUCCCUUAAUGUAUAUAUUUAUAUAUAUAUUGAAUUCUGCCCAAUACACAAUUUUUUGCGAGGGAAUUUUCCUAAUAUUAUAUGCAUUUACACAAACUGUAUUGUAUUAUCAUUUCAUUAAAAAAAUCAUUUCAUUAUAUGUGUUUAUAUGCAGGUUUAACCCUAAUAUAUGCAUCCCUAAUACUCAGUAGCAAACCUCAGUUUGUUGAGUAAUGUGUGAGAAGUCCCAGGGAGGUGCAGCAAAGCCUGGCUGACAGACAAAGCUUCCCUGCCUAGCUUCCAAAUGCAUUUCUCAUCAUCCAUACCUGGAAAUGGCUGUGCACCUAAAACCCCUUGUGUGAACUACCCCAAUGCUCGUUUCAACUGAGCAGCUCAGCAACAUGAGGUCACUUUCACUUGCUGAUGGCAAAGCCAGAUAACUGACAGUUAAGAUUGAAAGUGAACUAUGUCUAACCAUUUUAAACUGAUUUCAACACUGGUACUGAGCUGACAGGUCAAUAAAACAUGAAAGUAAAAGAUGAGUUGUUGUUCUGAGCCUGCUAAUUAGAGCAAAAUCGUAGGUUGUAUUCAGUGCUAGUCCUACUCAGCACAGCACCAUUGAAAUUAAUGAGCCUCUAAGUUAGUCAUGUCCAUUAACUUCAAUGGGUCUACUCUGAGUAGGACUAGCAGUGAAAACCACCCAAUAGAUGGAAUUCAGCAUUGCACUAUGGUGAACAUUUCAUCUGUGCAAGCGUUUCUGUAUGCCAGAUGGAAGAGCCCCUCUUUCUUCCUCCCCUGCCCUGUUCUGGGGGUUCUCACAACCCCCACAAACCAAUUUCAGGGGGGAAGAGGGGGGAAUCCCCAUUGCGCAAGUGGAAGUCCUUGCUCAGAGCUUCCACUGACAGGGGUCAUUAGAUGAAUCCCGCUCAGCUCAGACCUAAAAACAUGGCGCUUCUGCAAGCAAGCAAUUAAAAUGCAGGCACGGCCCCCAAUGUGACAUCCCCAACUAGGGUGCAGUAGGGUGUGGUAGUGGAUUGAACCGGGGGUAGGGGGUGGGGCUUCAACAAAGCACUUGGUGUCAGUCCUCCAUUUGUAAAAUGGGGGCAUUAAUGGCGUCUCUCCCUGAGUGAUUAGAGAUGUCGGAGAUAAUCACUGUGACGACCUCUGCAUUCCUAUCCAAAAAUUGGCUUCACAAUGUUUAUUACGGUAAUGAGAUUGAGCUGGUGCCACAAGCCAACCUGGAAACACAUGAGAAUGGGCCAGCAGAGCCACCUCCACAAAGCCGUUGGGAUUAGGAUGGCCUUUAAAAUGGAGCAAAGGAAUGAGCAAAAUAAGCAGAGUGUUGCACACUCAGGAACUGGCCAAGAAAGAGGUGGUGGCACGGCAGGUGUGGGAUGGCAGAGGCUGGGUCAUCUAUGCACCAUCACACAGGUAUUUGUCAGAGACCAGGCUGACGAGUACUGCUCUGAUGAAGAACGGUGGGAGCCUCCCCCUCUCUCUGCUCCUGGCCAGGAUCCUCAAGCUGCACAGGAGCAGGAGAGCAGUAUUGAUUUGGAACAAUGGUUUGCUGUGGGACACAGUCUGGAAGACAACAGUUGGGAAGAACUGGGGGGGGGGGAGACAGCUAGAAGAGGAAGAAGAAGUGGAUGCUCUCUGGAAAGCAUCCAGCCUCUUAGUCCAAGGGCAAGGAGAUUAGAUAAGGUGGCUGAACAGAAGGCCAGGUGGCGGAGAGAUCAAGUUGCAAGGGGUGGAAGUGACCGGAGUAACUAGGGGGGAAGUGGGUGUGAACGUUAAUUGGGAACACUGUCAUUCCGAAAAUGGUUGCUUUGUUCAAGACCUGUGAUGAGCAUGAUUCCUGAAACCUGUAUCUCCACUAUCACAUGUCAUAAAUGGUCUAUUUCACCCCCGUAAAUGCUGGCUAGAUCCUAAGCCUUGGCAUUUGGUAUGUCACACAUGGUGCACAAAUCAUUGCCUGCCAGAAACAACAAGCGUAGCUCAGAUCUAGAACAGAAACAAAAUGCUAACAGUGUUUGAAAUUUGAUGAAUUAUUCAGAUCUUAAAAUGGAGGUUUUGGUUUCAAGAUUUGGUAUCAAAAUUUAACAGUCAUGUUUCAAAAUAAAUGGCUCUCGUACAAAAUACAGCAGUCAACUAUUUGAGGAUUUUUACCAAGCCAGAAUUAAGAUUGCCGGAAGAAAUAUCAACAACCUCAGAUAUACAGAUGACACAACUUUGAUGGCAGAAAGUGAGGAGGAAUUAAAGAACAUCUUAAUGAGGGUGAAAGAGGGGAGCACAAAAUAUGGUCUGAAGCUCAACAUCAAAAAAACCAAGAUCAUGGCCACUGGUCCCAUCACCUCUUGGCAAAUAGAAGGGGAAGAAAUGGAGGCAGUGAGAGAUUUUACUUUCUUGGGCUCCAUGAUCACUGCAGAUGGUGACAGCAGCCACAAAAUUAAAAGACGCCUGCUUCUUGGGAGAAAAGCAAUGACAAACCUAGACAGCAUCUUAAAAAGCAGAGACAUCACCUUGCCAACAAAGGUCCGUAUAGUAAAAGCUAUGGUUUUCCCAGUAGUGAUGUAUGGAAGUGAGAGCUGGACCAUAAAGAAGGCUGAUUGCCAAAGAAUUGAUGCUUUUGAAUUAUAGUGCUGGAGGAGACUCUGGAGAGUCCCAUGGACUGCAAGAUGAUCAAACCUCUCCAUUCUGAAGGAAAUCAGCCCUGAGUGCUCACUGGAAGGACAGAUCCUGAAGCUGAGGCUCCAAUACUUUGGCCACCUCAUGAGAAGAGAAGACUCCCUGGAAAAGACCCUGAUGCUGGGAAAGAUGGAGGGCACAAGGAGAAGGGGACGACAGAGGACGAGAUGGUUGGACAGUGUUCUCGAAGCUACCAGCAUGAGUCUGACCAAACUGCAGGAGGCAGUGCCUGGCGUGCUCUGGUCCAGGGGGUCAUGAAGAGUCGGACACGACUAAACGACUAAACAACAACAAACAACAACCAGUUCAAGAUAAUGUUUUCCUGCUUGGAUGCAUGAAUGAAGGACUGAAUAAAGGAUGGAUGAGGUUUGUACAAAAUGCACUGAAAGCAACUGUAAGUGCUCAUUCACCCUUCCUCUGGUCCUGCUGCUUCUCCUGGGGAAAACCAUUCUUAGCACUCAGUUGGAACAAAUGGCAAUUCGGGUUUUCUCCAGAUUGACGUUUGCUCCCAUUUAGCACUAAAGAGUGGGCUUUCCCUGGGGAAGGAGUGGGGCAAGGGGGAACCUGCUCAGACCCUGUGCCUAGAAAACACAGGAAAAGCAGAGUGUGUACGGGCCCCAUGUCAGCUGUCACAUACUGGUAAAUACUGACCACCACUGCCUGGCACUGGUGAUAAACCAGAUUGCUGAUCAAUGUCAAAUCCUAAUAUUGAAUACAAAAUAAUAGCUGGUUGCCCACACAUUUGGAGGAUAUUCAUCAUCCAAAUUCACAGAGGGUCACUCUUAUGGGCAGCUUUCAUGUCCUGUCUGUUCAGAACCCCUUCAUUUACUUUCUGUUUCAAAGGUUGUCUUCCUAUCAAGCACAUCAAUUUGUUUCCCCCCCUUUUUGUCAGCAAAAGGAAAGUAAGUGAGUCCUAUCCUGGGGGUUAAAGUAGGACACAUUCCAAGUGGAGAUAAGUUGCCAGUUCUUAAAAAUGGAAAGGGAUUAAUCACAGGCUGCUCAGAGAAACAAGGAAUUUCCCAUGAAGACCAGACAUUCUUUUGAGGGCAGCAAUUUUGAAAUCCACAUGCUAACAUAAUACUAAUGAUCCCUGUCAUCAGUGGGUCCAGAAAACUGAUCCAACAAUAGGUAGUUAAUUAGCAGUUUUGGAAAGCAAUCAAGGUAUUUGACAAAGUGCUCAGACUAUAAAACAGCUGGACCUAUGAUGCUCUAUGUGGUGGAGUCAGAUGUGAUCCAGAUCAGCUGACAGUGAAGCAACACAGGCUGCAAUUUGACUGUUCCCGGUUCUGACCACCAGGGGCAGUGACACAUUGGUGGUAGUUUUCUUGUUUGGCAACACCCCUGGCUUGAGAGUAAAAGAAUGAAAGCCCCCUUGAGCCUCUCUAGCACCAGCAACUCUGCAGCCCUGGCACCUGAAAGUGUCAGCACCACCUUUAAUAGCUAGAUAAAUGACAAUGAAAUUGCAGAUUUAUUUCCAAGAGAACAGUAAAACAAAACAAAAAUGCAAGUGUCAAAGGAAUCAUAUGCAACAUGAGGUAGUGAUGCUGCUAUUAUGAACUGCCAUUCUAUUAUUAUAUUCCAGUGGGCAUCAGGGCUUAUAGCUCCCUACUUCCUGGAAAUCUAGGGACUCAGCUGCAAUGCAAAUGUAAAGCCGGGGGGGGGGGGCUGGACUCCCCUUCUAGUUCUGGAUCUCCCUUCUAAUUCUGGGGUGCCAGACAUUGACUUAAGCAUACUAAAAUUUAAGCCAUGUUAAAAAAUAAGAUGUCCCAAGGGUGGUUGCUAUUCUAAGAACCCACCAGCCCUUUGGACAGAAUGAGCAUCUCUCUGUAGUUAAAAAGCUAAAGCUAAAGGACCCCUGGAUGGUUAAGUCCAGUCAAAAGCGACUGUGGGGUGUGGUGCUCAUCUCGCUUUCAGGCCGAGGGAGCUGGUGUUUGUCCACAGACAGCUUUCCAGGUCAUGUGGCCAGCAGGACUAAACCGCUUCUGGCUCAACGGGAUACCUUGACAGAAACCAGAGCGCACGGAAAUGCCAUUUACCUUCUCGCCACAGCGGUACCUAUUUAUUGACUUGCACUGGUGUGCUUUUGAACUGCUAUGUUGGCAGGAGCUGGGACAGAGUAACAGGAGCUCACCCCGUCACAGGGAUUUGAACUGCCAACCUUCUGAUUGGCAAGCCCAAAAGGCUCAGUGGUUUAGACCACAGCGCCACCCGCAUCUGUGGUGUCACCAGUCUGGUAAGUAGGCACAAUCCUACCAGAUACUGGCUAUUAAUCAUAUCCAACUUUCCUGCCAGUACCAUUCAGUCCCUGUUCUUUUUCUAGUUACGAUGAGCAGAGAAGACACUGCCUUCAGCCAUCUACCACAAACUGGGGAAAUGGCGGCUCAUCAUAGGAAUAGGAUCCCAAAGGUAAGGAGGAGUUUCAGGAGCUGAAGUGCAAAUUGAGAGAGGAAGACCAGUGGGUGAACAUCCUGGGAAGCAGAUGGGUGAGGAGGAGAAGAAGAAGAAGAGUUUGGAUUUGAUAUCCCGCCUUUCACUCCCUUUAAGGGGUCUUAAAGCGGCUAACAUUCUCCUCUCCCUUCCUCCCCCACAACAAACACUCUGUGCGGUGAGUGGGGCUGAGUGACUUCAGAGAAGUGUGAACAGCCCAAGGUCACCCAGCAGCUGCAUGUGGAGGAGCAGAGACGCGAACCUGGCUCCCCAGAUUACGAAUCCACCGCUCUUAACCACUACACCACACUGGCUCCCAGUGCACAGUAGUGCAGCGAGUACAAUCCUACCCGUAUACAUGAAACCCCCCCUCCAAGCUCCAUGAGACUUACUUCUAAGGAGUCCUUGUGUAGAGCUGCACUGCUGGUGUGUCCUUUGGGAGGUAUUUUGUUUUUAUCUUUUAAAAGCAACUGUGGGGGAAUUCAAAGCCAGACCACACUAUGAGUCUGUGGUCUUUAAUCUUUUCCAACAUGCCACAGCUCAAAUGAAAACCACCCUCAUCAACCCACGGGGGCUGCUAUUUGCGCCAGGAGGCAAUGGCAGCUUCUCUCUUGAUGCAAAUAGCUGCUUGGGGAGUGGAGUAUCCAGGACCCCUGGACAGCGAAGGGCCAUACAGCUCAGUGGUGGAGCAUCUGUUCUACAUGUGGAAGGUUCCAGGUUCAAUUCCUGGCAUCUCCAGGUAGGGCUGGGGAAAGGCUGCUGCCUCAAACCCUGGAAAGCCAUUGGCAGUUGGAUUAGACAGUGCUGAGCUGGAAGGACUGGUUGUCUGACAUGAUCCCAGGCAGAACCCUAUAUUCCCUAGGCACAGGGGUAAAGGUCAAUAAAAAGCUUCCCUUCUCUCUACAGCCCCAGUCUUGACCCAUCACACAGAUAUUGGAGGCGCUCCUCAGACCAUCACUAUGUUCAGGUAGGACUCAACUCUUUCCCCACAAACUGAAGGUUGCACAAUUAAAGCUGGCUUGGACUUCCUGCACAACAAACCAGCUUCUCCAAAAGAUCAGACCUUACUUCUUCUGUUCUUUUGCCAUAAGGAAAACUAAUGGAAAAUGCACCAGAAAGUGUGGGGAAACCCUUGCUUGCCACAACAACCCUCCAAACUCCCUGCAAACAAAUCAGGAAACAAUUCAAGAAACAGGUUGCCUGGAAGCGCCUUGGGGAUGCUAUUCACAAAAAACCAAACCAAACCAACAAAGAAAAAACAGGCACAGCCAAACUACGCAUUUAACGCGAAGCUUCGCCUGAGCUUGAGUUUCACAAGCUCUCUGCUGCAUCAGAGGUGAAUUCCCCAAGUGCUUGAAAAUUCCCAGGCUGGUUCCCACUGGCCAUCAUAGCUGGACAGGAAGCCCUACAAGACCCCAAUGUAGUCCCAUUAUAUAUAUAAUCCAUUUCUUGUGGUAAUUGCUUGAGGCAGCUCUAGUGGCUGGAAGCACCAUGGGAAGUGAGAUGAGAGAGAGAGGACGUGAUCUCAGCCAGCAGAGCCUACCAGCAGCCCCUUCUGCCAAAGCUUCCCUUCUCCCAGGCUGGGGCCCCACCUCACUCAGCUCAUUCCCAUUCAGAGCAGUGGUGCCCAUGGCUCUCCCUUCUGCCGUCCUACUGAGUGCCUCUUCUGCCGCACCGGACACCUUCUCCCAGCCCUCAGCUUUGGCCUAGAAACCAGCUGGUGCCAAACGUCUGCUUGGCAUUGCUUCAGCUUAGGAGCCAGGAAACCAGACACAGUUUAUAACACCUCAGAGUGCAGUGGAAGGAAGAUACGUUCUCCACCGCAGGACUCCAAAUAAGGAGCAGAAACCUUCUCUGGUUGCGUCCAGACCAGCAAGGGGUGCUGGCUGACCAGACCAAAACUGGUCCAGCAAAUCUUUUGUUUUCUAAAUGUCCAGGCUAGUUGCCAGGGGUUUUGCAUCAAAGCCCACAGUGCUGUUUUGCUUUCGGAGAUUGUUUGGGGCUUAAAAUCAGCACCAGUAUUGUUACUGAGUGUUUGUGCUUGAAUUGUACAGAAGAAGGAAGACUGAGAUCUAUUGGGAGAUCUCUGUGCCUGGAAUAAAUCUAAAAGGUGCAAAAAAGUAAAUCAACCAUUUUUAAUAACAUAGAUAUGGAAGGAUUUGAAAAGUUUACAAUAAAUCUCUGACCUACGGAAUAUGCAGUAAUGACCAACCAUUGCAUGUGACUUCACAACACUGAAAAGCAGUGUGCAUAAUAUCACAUCAGUGUAUUCUAAAAUAUAUAGCUGUAUCUAGAAUACAUUGAUGCGAUGAUACACAGUGUCUGAAUCAUUCUUUGUUAAAUUUUCAAAUCCCACUGUAUCUUAUAAGAUACAUUUUAUAAGUAUGUGAUAAGAAAGAAUUAUGUUCAUUUAGUUCCUUGGCUUUAUUUACUCUUUUGUAUCUAUUGAUUGUUCAGGGAAUAUUCUCUAGGUUUGCUUUUGCAGUAGAUCUGCAAGGAUUCCUGACUCCUAUUCAUUUCUCCAACAACUUUCCCUCACCUAAAUCACACUGCUAAAAUAAAGAGUGUGAACCAAGAGGAAUGGACCUCCUUUGUGUUAAAGGGCUGCAAAUUCAGAUCCGUUCUGCCAGAUCCGUUCUCACCCCGUUUCUUCCCUUCUGCUGCACUUUAUCUUCUAUCUAUUAAAUCAGAACCAUUAUAUUAUAAUCUAAUUAUUUCUGUUACUCACAGCUCCAAUCCUGCUCAUGAUGUAUGGUGGCAUCUCUAGAAAGCAGAGGGGGUUACUAUUUUUGUCAUACCAUCAAAUUUGUGCACAGCUGGGCAGGAUGCAGCCUCUCUGCACAUGGUUAGAUUUGCGGCACCACACGCAGCACCCAGAGGAGCGCAAGCAGGAUCUCAUUCGUGUGCUCAGUGGACACAUGCAGGCAAUGAAUAAAGUCAUUUAGCUCAGUACUGCCUACACUGACUGGCAGCAGACCUCAAGGCUUCCAGACAUUCCCAGCCCUGCCUGGGGAUGCUGUGGGUUGAACCCAGCCCUUCUGCUCACAAGGCAGAUGCUCUGCCACUCAGUCCUGCCCUGCUGCUCCCUGGCCAUAUUACCUGCCCUGGGUAAGGAUGUCUCAGCUCUGUCUGCUAUGUUGAUGCCCAAUGAGAGCCACAGAGGGCUUAUCAAACUUACCUUUUGCCCCACUUAUAAGCUCUGUAUCCAAGCAUGGUUGGUUUUUUGUUUCGUUUUGUUUUUGUCCUGGAGCUUUCCCCACAAAAACCCACUUAAUUGGAGCAGACGCCAAUUUGGGUUUUUAAGCUGAUUGCUGUUUGCUCCAAUUGAGCUGGAAUGAGAAGGUUUUUGUGGGGAAAGCUCUAGAGAAAAGGAAAAGCGCUUGGACACAGAGCUUUAAAGCACGGAUCCUGCCGGGAAAGAGCAGAGGAAAGGCAGGAGAGCUGCAGAUAAAAGGCCAGUGGGGAUGGGAGCCAAAGGGGCAGGAGCUCAGAGGCCUGUUUGGAGAGCCACCCACACCCCGCAUGUAGUGCAUGUGGCUUUCCCACAAAGACUCAUGGGAACAGUAGUUUGCUAAGGGUGCUGGGAAUUGUAGCUGAGUGAGGGGUAAACUACGCUUCCCAGGAUUAUUUGGUGAGGGGCGGGGGAGGAGCCAUGACUGUUAAAGUGCAAUAAAUCUGCUUAAAACAGUGCAGUGCCGGGUAUUGUGAGAGGCUCCUGGCUCCUGCCAUGCUCUCUGCCAUGCCUCCUUCCAUCAUCCCUGCUCCUUUCAGGGUGGUGAUGCUCAGUGCCAGUCUGUUGGUGGUGCCUGCUGGCCUCUGCGCUCAAGUGCAGUAUUGGCUGGGGAAGGAAUUUGGGGUGGGGAGGGGGGAGAUGGGCAGCCUUCCAGCAGACAGAAGGUUCACAGCUGGGGCAGCCAGGAUUCCAGAGAAAAGGUGGUGAGGGAAUGAAUCUGCUUCGACAAAACUUGGGUUGCUGUGUCACAACAACAUCCCAUCUGACCCAAGCAAGCAGACCAGAGAGGAGCCCACACAAGCAGAAAUACAUACACAAAAGCCGCACUGAUUAUCUUCCCCUCUGCGCCAUUAUCCCAUAUUUGGCAUCCCUGGCCCCAUUCCCAAAGUGACGCCAUCCUCUGGUGCAUCACCCCAUCUCCAAAUCCCAGCCCCCGUACUUCCCUUGUCUCAGCCUCUCUGUUGCAACUCUGACCUUCCCACCCAAAUAUGCCCACGCACGCACACACAGGAGCCUAGGCAGGCUCUCUGGCUCUCCCUCUCCCUCUCUCUGAGGGUGAGACAGGCAUGUGGUUCCAACUAAGGCCUGGCUCUCAGCCCAGCCUGGUUUCCCCACUUAGCCAAAGCUCUGGCUCUUCACUCCCCCACCAAUCCUGGGCAACAGUUUCCAGGAAUAAUGGAGCAUUCAGGAAAAGGGAAAGUGGAUCGCCCCCAUACAAUAAACACACUCACAGACUGUUUCACUCUGUUUCCCCAAGGACAGCUGCUCCCCCAUCCCUCCAUCAAAGUGGAAUGAGUUUAUUUAACACUCCACAGGGCUGCAAACAGCCACCUCUGCUUUCUUCUCUCUAACCUCACUGCCCACCGGUAGCCAAGAUUAGGACCUGGGAUUCCUAGGUUUGGACCCAGCCAGGGCCAGCCCACGCAGAAGGCAAGAAUAGAAGUCAAGGGGAGCUCUGAAACUCCAGUCCCACCCUGUGACUUACUCUAUGGAUUUGGGAUUUCUAUCCUGCUUUUUAACCCUGUCCCUACUCACAAGGGGAAGGCUCAGCAUUAGAAUGGCAUGCUCUGUGUGCAAAAGGUAUUGGAUUCAAUCCUUGGCCCUCUGAGGCCCCAUCCUCAAACUACGCUUAAAGUAGUAUCACACCACUUUAAACAGUCAUGGCUUUCCCCAAAGAAUUCUGGGAACUGUAGUCUAUUAAGGGUGCUAAGAAGUGUUAGGAGACCCUAUCGUGCUGUUACAGAUGCACCAUGGCAUUUCAUCUCUCAGUACUCCUCGCAGCGGUCAUUUUUCCUCUGGUCACUGCUGUGGAUGCACAACCUGACUGUUUCCAGACACUGUGGUCAUCUGCAAGGAAUUCCCAUAUUGCAGGACUAAUGUUGCCAGCCUUUGUGUCACGUUUGCAGACAUCUUUUUAACACAGUAGGCCUGGUGCCUGAAGCCAGCUCCCCAAAAAGCACAUCCUUUGAGAUCCCGCCACCUUCCAUUCUGUGAGCAUGACCAAGCCAGUGUAGACAUUGCAAACAUGCUGGGAAUGCGGGCUUCAUAGAGCAGAUCUUUGAUUCAAACUUUGUUUGUUUCAAACUUUGUUUGCUGGCAUCUUGUACGCCUCCUUCUGGCAACCCCUGCAGCCAAGCUGGUGCCCAACAUCUUACUCUGCUUUCCUUUGGACCACAUCAGUGAGGCCAAGAGGGGAGUAUUAUCCUCUGAGCAGCCCAGAACCGCCAUACACACUGCCAGAGCUUGGACCCCGGGGAGAUCACUGUGGUUUUGCUAACACUCUAGUUUGAUUUCACUCCCAUUGUCUUUUGAGACAGACGGAUGCCAACGUGUGUGUGUGUGUGUGUGUGUGUGUGUGUGUGUGUGUCUAUGGUUUAGCUGUUAUUUUAUCUGUCAGCCACUUGGAGUCCUUGCCAGGAGAAAAAGGCUGGGUAUAAAUAAUAAAACAACAACAACAACAACGGGAUCUCAUGACAACUCUCAGCACCCUUAACAAACUACAUUUCUCAGGAGUCUUUGGUGGAAAUCAUGACUGUUAGAAGUGGUAUGAUCCUGCUUAUAAUGCAGGUGGGGCCCAAGUUAUAAAUAUUAGGAAGCCGGUGAUGGGAAAGACCCCUUCUGUGCCUGACAGCCCCUUUCAUCAGAGGUGGCACUGAUUAACUAACAGUCUGCUCUAUCUGCUUUUCACUCACAGAGCUGGAGGAGAACACUCUAACCUUGGUUCCCAGCACCACCAUGUACUGAUUGAACUUACUGUAUCACACACUUACUCAGAAGUACACCCUGAUGAGUUCAGUGGAAAUGCCUUGCUUAAGCACAUGCCAGAUUGGAGACUUAAGCCAACAUACACCCUGAACCGUCAAAAUAAGAGCUAAGUCUAUUCCAUAGACCAGCAAGUUUGAGAAACUUAUUGUGUCCUGACAUUUAUUUUUAAAUCAAGUUUCUAGCUCUCAUUCGUCAUUGAGAAAUGUCUGGAAAUGUGCAGGCAAUGGUUAAUGGCCUGACUCUAUGAGCCAUUGCAAUUAUGUAGUCAUUCAAAGGAUAGGGCUUAAGAGCAAAGCCUUCACAUUGCAUUUGCUGGGAUCUCUCCCCACCACUCAGGAUAGCAGAUCAGACAUUUUAACGCAGAUUCUGAAUAGUACAGCUCAGCGCCGGAUUUGGGGCAGGGUGGAAGAGGCAGCCUCGUGGUUGGAGCGGGCACAGCUCCAGUCGCUGCUUCCUCCUCCCACUCUCUCAGGGUUGCUGCUGCAGCCAGAAGACCCGCUUUUCCAGACCAGGCUCAGGUUGCACUUGGGGGAGGUUCUGAUCCAGGGGUGCUUCCAGAGGCAAGAGAAUAGAGGAGCCACAGGAUUCAGCCAGGGUGGGCUCCCCCAACACCACGCAUCCUCUCGUGCAUCCUAGGCACAUCGGGGCUGAAGGAGUCCCGUGGUGUCUCCGUAUGGACCCUGCGCUUGCUAGGCUCUGGGAGGCUCUCGCAAGAUCUCACAAAGCCAUCUGAGUUCCUGUGAGAUCUCACCAAAGCCCAUGCAAGGGUCUCCCAGAGCUCAGGAUACAAGGUGGAGAGCUUCAAAGCUCUCUGCUUUGCUUGGCAGGGAGAGCUAAGACCCAUUCAGCGCACCAGCUCCAGAAGGUCAGAUUGCUUGCAUGGGGCAGUUCCAAUGGCAGCUUGACUACACGUGGUUUUGGAUCGAUGCACCUCCCCAGAAGGCAACCCCCCCCCCCAAGAUGCAGGUUGCCAGUCUACCAAAAGACACAGAGAGCUAGUUUAUACUGCCAGCGGAAUCGAGUCUCUGCUGUCAGUAGAAUCAAUCAUAUGCUGGGACUGGAUCACAUCAAGCUGAAGGGGGGCAGAGGACCGCAUGUUUGAAACUUCCCUAGGGGAGGAAGGAAGUUUCCUCCAUGAAGAAAAGAACUACUUCAGGGAAAUGAGCAAUGCUUUCUUGCUGGCAUGCUAAGAUUGGGAAGUUGAUUGGGGUGGGAGAAGUGUUCCAAUAUUCAACCCCCAUCCACCUUUUUCCUGAGGUGAUACAAUCCCAGAAAAGCUUUCCCACUUAAUCCUAUCAAAUGUACAUGCUAACCCUCUGAAGGUGUUUUUCACCGAUGCUCAGGAUGUGACUGAUGCGCAGGUCCACUUGAGAGGGCGGUACAGGAGGCACUGGUAUGCCAGGCUCACAGAGAACAAGGGUCCCUACCCUGACCUUUCAUGGGGAGGGGGAGUCUCUAGUCCACCGAGAAUGAAAGUUAUGAAGCAAAAUGUGCAGGCAACUUUCUAAGUGAUUUCUGUGAGAUAAGACUGCCUGGCUGCUCCUGCCUACCAGUGUUUUUAGCUAACAAGUGCUAAGUGAGUUGUUUCAACACCAGGCAAUAGGAAGCCCUGGGUCCUAAAGAGCUGCUGUAUUCCCCUCCCCUUAGGUGCACUUUUACUGCUUUGGUCUCAUUUUCUAAUCCUUGGUAUCCACACAGCUUAACCUUCUACAGAAUGGCUGGGGAAACCCAGCCCGAUGGGCGGAGUAUAAAUAAAUAAAUAUAAUAAUAAUAAUAAUAAUAAUAAUAAUAAUAAUAAUUUACAAGCAACCAUGAUGCAUCUUUCCUGUGGCAGGUUCAUUGAGCUCAGGGAUUCCCUAGAAGUUAUUUUAUGCAAAUACUACUAGAGAAUAAGUGUGCUAGAGGGCUUCAAGAAUCCAUCCUGCAAAAAAAAAUAUGCAAAUAAAAAGCAUGAAAACUUUGCAAAGAAGCUUAAGCGUGUCUCUUGCUGUGCAGGAGCUAAAGACCAGGCACCCAUUAACUGACAAGACAAUGGUAUAUGUGUCUGUACACAGCUGUAAGUCUCUUUGUCUUAAUGGGGCUUACUCCCAGAUAAGUGAACACUGCAUUUCAGCCUAGACUCUGGUUUAUGGUUAUCAUUGGGGGAAAACAGGAUUCUUGUGCCUUUAACAGCUGUGCAGCAGGCAGAAAAAGACAGCAUACAUUUGCAUAUGACCCAAAGCAUACACUGAUUUUAUGCAAAUCUGAGUCCUCUUUCGCAAGUGAGUCAGAAGGCUCAAUCUAUCUACAGCGUACUGGAUCCAGAAGAUCCUGUUGGAAGGCAGCUGUGCUCACCACUAUACCAGGGCUUCUGGUUCCUGUCUGUCUUAAUGGAGGCACCUCCCACAACAGUGGGAGAUUGUUGGUGAAGAAAAAACAAAGAUGAUUGAGGGUAAUUAUCCUUGAAAAUUUUCCUCCAGGGGGAAUGGGCUUCACUUGCAGAUCCUCUCGGUACCUGGCUCUCGCUCCAGCAUGGAAUGCAAGAGGCAGGGAGGCGCUGAGUGCAAAAGCACUUCGCCUGUUGAUAACCCUCCUACGCUGCCAUUAAGAAGCAGAGGUUCUUCUAUUCAUUAGAUUUUAAUUUGGACUAAUGUACAGACGUGUGCUGGAAAAGAUGAGACCAAAAACUGCACAAUCGAAACAGCUGCAAGGUUGUUAAGUUUUGAACUUGGAAAAAUGAUUUCAUUUGGUGUAAAAGACGGUUGGCGGGGAGGGGGGCCUUUGGCUUCUUUACACUUUGAUUUUUUAUAUUUAUGAUUCGGCAACCCUCCCCUGAAAUACAUGGAUGUACAUUUACUUUGCUAAGUUUGAAGCUGAAAUUAUGGAAGUACAGGUGGCAAUGGUGAAAAAUUGAUUGCAGAUAUGAAAUAUAAAAUCAAAUGGAACUGUGUGUGUAAAGAAAAAAGGGGGGAAGGGAGAGAAGCUUUAUUUUUCAAAGGUUUAUGAGGGAAACUCAGAGCGGACUCUUCCCUACUUUUUAUCAUCCUCAGACUGAACUGAAUAAUGCUAAAAUGUUUUGGAAUUGAAUUUAAUUGGAUCUGUAACUGCUUGUCAGCUGAACGGAGAGAUAAGAGGGGGCUGCAAGCUUGCCAAAGAAGGUUCAUUACUGAGUUACUUGAAAUUUGAUAGCUGGCUCUCCUCUCCUCCCCAGGCUGAGAGAAAACAGUAUAUUUUUGCAGCUGAUGCUUGAGUUGCAAAACAAUGAGGCUUGGAACAGUGCAAUGGAGAACUUAUGAAACAGCAAUGGAAUACUAGCUCCGCUCAAGGUAUGAUGGAGAACAGCAACAAGUGACAAAAGAUAGAGAAAAUACAGUACAAGGACGGGAAGAAACAGCACGGACAGAAAAAUAG